AGCGAACGCUGGCGGCAGGCCUAACACAUGCAAGUCGAACGAACCUUUCGGGGUUAGUGGCGGACGGGUGAGUAACACGUGGGAACGUGCCUUUAGGUUCGGAAUAACUCAGGGAAACUUGUGCUAAUACCGAAUGUGCCCUUCGGGGGAAAGAUUAAUCGCCUUUAGAGCGGCCCGCGUCUGAUUAGCUAGUUGGUUGAGGUAAUGGCUCACCAAGGCGACGAUCAGUAGCUGGUCUGAGAGGAUGAUCAGCUACAUUGGGACUGAGACACGGCCCAAACUCCUACGGGAGGCAGCAGUGGGGAAUCUUGCGCAAUGGGCGAAAGCCUGACGCAGCCAUGCCGCGUGAAUGAUGAAGGUCUUAGGAUUGUAAAAUUCUUUCACCGGGGACGAUAAUGACGGUACCCGGAGAAGAAGCCCCGGCUAACUUCGUG
rnacentral:rRNA from 1 species